UGGCAUAACCUGCCCUUGGGACCGGCAUAACCCCGGGAAACUGGGGAUAAUUCCGGAUAACGCAUAUGUGCUGGAAUGCUUUAUGCGUAAAAUGGAUUCGUCUGCCCAAGGAUGGGUCUGCGGCCUAUCAGGUAGUAGUGGGUGUAAUGUACCUACUAGCCAGCGACGGGUACGGGUUGUGAGAGCAAGAGCCCGGAGAUGGAUUCUGAGACAUGAAUCCAGGCCCUACGGGGCGCAGCAGGCGCGAAAACUUUACAAUGCGGGAAACCGUGAUAAGGGGACACCGAGUGCCAGCAUCAUAUGCUGGCUGUCCAGGUGUGUAAAAUACACCUGUUAGCAAGGGCCGGGCAAGACCGGUGCCAGCCGCCGCGGUAACACCGGCGGCCCGAGUGGUGAUCGUGAUUAUUGGGUCUAAAGGGUCCGUAGCCGGUUUGGUCAGUCCUCCGGGAAAUCUGAUAGCUCAACUAUUAGGCUUUCGGGGGAUACUGCCAGACUUGGAACCGGGAGAGGUAAGAGGUACUACAGGGGUAGGAGUGAAAUCUUGUAAUCCCUGUGGGACCACCUGUGGCGAANGCGUCUUACCANAACGGGUUCNACGGUGAGGGACNAAAGCUGGGGGCACNAACCGGAUUA
rnacentral:rRNA from 1 species